CGGGGUGUAGCGCAGUUGGUAGCGCGCAGCGUUUGGGACGCUGAAGUCGGAGGUUCGAAUCCUCUCGCCCCGA
rnacentral:tRNA from 1 species